GAUGAACGCUGGCGGCGUGCCUAAUACAUGCAAGUCGAGCGAACAGACGAGGAGCUUGCUCCUCUGACGUUAGCGGCGGACGGGUGAGUAACACGUGGAUAACCUACCUAUAAGACUGGGAUAACUUCGGGAAACCGGAGCUAAUACCGGAUAACAUGUUGAACCGCAUGGUUCAACAGUGAAAGACGGUCUUGCUGUCACUUAUAGAUGGAUCCGCGCCGCAUUAGCUAGUUGGUAAGGUAACGGCUUACCAAGGCAACGAUGCGUAGCCGACCUGAGAGGGUGAUCGGCCACCCUGGAACUGAGACACGGUCCAGACUCCUACGGGAGGCAGCAGUAGGGAAUCUUCCGCAAUGGGCGAAAGCCUGACGGAGCAACGCCGCGUGAGUGAAGAAGGUCUUCGGAUCGUAAAACUCUGUUAUUAGGGAAGAACAAAUGUGUAAGUAACUAUGCACGUCUUGACGGUACCUAAUCAGAAAGCCACGGCUAACUACGUG
rnacentral:rRNA from 1 species